rnacentral:rRNA from 2 species
UUAAGCGACUAAGCGUACACGGUGGAUGCCCUGGCAGUCAGAGGCGAUGAAGGACGUGCUAAUCUGCGAUAAGCGUCGGUGAGGUGAUAUGAACCGUUAUAACCGGCGAUUUCCGAAUGGGGAAACCCAGUGUGAUUCGUCACACUAUCAUUAACUGAAUCCAUAGGUUAAUGAGGCGAACCGGGGGAACUGAAACAUCUAAGUACCCCGAGGAAAAGAAAUCAACCGAGAUUCCCCCAGUAGCGGCGAGCGAACGGGGAAGAGCCCAGAGCCUGAAUCAGUGUGUGUGUUAGUGGAAGCGUCUGGAAAGGCGCGCGAUACAGGGUGACAGCCCCGUACACAAAAAUGCACAUAUUGUGAGCUCGAUGAGUAGGGCGGGACACGUGGUAUCCUGUCUGAAUAUGGGGGGACCAUCCUCCAAGGCUAAAUACUCCUGACUGACCGAUAGUGAACCAGUACCGUGAGGGAAAGGCGAAAAGAACCCCGGCGAGGGGAGUGAAAAAGAACCUGAAACCGUGUACGUACAAGCAGUGGGAGCCUCUUAAUGGGGUGACUGCGUACCUUUUGUAUAAUGGGUCAGCGACUUAUAUUCUGUAGCAAGGUUAACCGAAUAGGGGAGCCGAAGGGAAACCGAGUCUUAACUGGGCGUUAAGUUGCAGGGUAUAGACCCGAAACCCGGUGAUCUAGCCAUGGGCAGGUUGAAGGUUGGGUAACACUAACUGGAGGACCGAACCGACUAAUGUUGAAAAAUUAGCGGAUGACUUGUGGCUGGGGGUGAAAGGCCAAUCAAACCGGGAGAUAGCUGGUUCUCCCCGAAAGCUAUUUAGGUAGCGCCUCGUGAAUUCAUCUCCGGGGGUAGAGCACUGUUUCGGCAAGGGGGUCAUCCCGACUUACCAACCCGAUGCAAACUGCGAAUACCGGAGAAUGUUAUCACGGGAGACACACGGCGGGUGCUAACGUCCGUCGUGAAGAGGGAAACAACCCAGACCGCCAGCUAAGGUCCCAAAGUCAUGGUUAAGUGGGAAACGAUGUGGGAAGGCCCAGACAGCCAGGAUGUUGGCUUAGAAGCAGCCAUCAUUUAAAGAAAGCGUAAUAGCUCACUGGUCGAGUCGGCCUGCGCGGAAGAUGUAACGGGGCUAAACCAUGCACCGAAGCUGCGGCAGCGACACUAUGUGUUGUUGGGUAGGGGAGCGUUCUGUAAGCCUGUGAAGGUGGCCUGUGAGGGUUGCUGGAGGUAUCAGAAGUGCGAAUGCUGACAUAAGUAACGAUAAAGCGGGUGAAAAGCCCGCUCGCCGGAAGACCAAGGGUUCCUGUCCAACGUUAAUCGGGGCAGGGUGAGUCGACCCCUAAGGCGAGGCCGAAAGGCGUAGUCGAUGGGAAACAGGUUAAUAUUCCUGUACUUGGUGUUACUGCGAAGGGGGGACGGAGAAGGCUAUGUUGGCCGGGCGACGGUUGUCCCGGUUUAAGCGUGUAGGCUGGUUUUCCAGGCAAAUCCGGAAAAUCAAGGCUGAGGCGUGAUGACGAGGCACUACGGUGCUGAAGCGACAAAUGCCCUGCUUCCAGGAAAAGCCUCUAAGCAUCAGGUAACAUCAAAUCGUACCCCAAACCGACACAGGUGGUCAGGUAGAGAAUACCAAGGCGCUUGAGAGAACUCGGGUGAAGGAACUAGGCAAAAUGGUGCCGUAACUUCGGGAGAAGGCACGCUGAUAUGUAGGUGAAGCGACUUGCUCGUGGAGCUGAAAUCAGUCGAAGAUACCAGCUGGCUGCAACUGUUUAUUAAAAACACAGCACUGUGCAAACACGAAAGUGGACGUAUACGGUGUGACGCCUGCCCGGUGCCGGAAGGUUAAUUGAUGGGGUUAGCGGUAACGCGAAGCUCUUGAUCGAAGCCCCGGUAAACGGCGGCCGUAACUAUAACGGUCCUAAGGUAGCGAAAUUCCUUGUCGGGUAAGUUCCGACCUGCACGAAUGGCGUAAUGAUGGCCAGGCUGUCUCCACCCGAGACUCAGUGAAAUUGAACUCGCUGUGAAGAUGCAGUGUACCCGCGGCAAGACGGAAAGACCCCGUGAACCUUUACUAUAGCUUGACACUGAACAUUGAGCCUUGAUGUGUAGGAUAGGUGGGAGGCUUUGAAGUGUGGACGCCAGUCUGCAUGGAGCCGACCUUGAAAUACCACCCUUUAAUGUUUGAUGUUCUAACGUGGGCCCCUAAUCGGGGUUGCGGACAGUGUCUGGUGGGUAGUUUGACUGGGGCGGUCUCCUCCUAAAGAGUAACGGAGGAGCACGAAGGUUGGCUAAUCCUGGUCGGACAUCAGGAGGUUAGUGCAAUGGCAUAAGCCAGCUUGACUGCGAGCGUGACGGCGCGAGCAGGUGCGAAAGCAGGUCAUAGUGAUCCGGUGGUUCUGAAUGGAAGGGCCAUCGCUCAACGGAUAAAAGGUACUCCGGGGAUAACAGGCUGAUACCGCCCAAGAGUUCAUAUCGACGGCGGUGUUUGGCACCUCGAUGUCGGCUCAUCACAUCCUGGGGCUGAAGUAGGUCCCAAGGGUAUGGCUGUUCGCCAUUUAAAGUGGUACGCGAGCUGGGUUUAGAACGUCGUGAGACAGUUCGGUCCCUAUCUGCCGUGGGCGCUGGAGAACUGAGGGGGGCUGCUCCUAGUACGAGAGGACCGGAGUGGACGCAUCACUGGUGUUCGGGUUGUCAUGCCAAUGGCACUGCCCGGUAGCUAAAUGCGGAAGAGAUAAGUGCUGAAAGCAUCUAAGCACGAAACUUGCCCCGAGAUGAGUUCUCCCUGACUCCUUGAGAGUCCUGAAGGAACGUUGAAGACGACGACGUUGAUAGGCCGGGUGUGUAAGCGCAGCGAUGCGUUGAGCUAACCGGUACUAAUGAACCGUGAGGCUUAACCUU